rnacentral:tRNA from 1 species
GGUGGUAUAGCCAAGCGGUAAGGCGAGGGAUUGCAAAUCCUUUAUUCCCCAGUUCGAAUCUGGGUACCACCU